UACAGUGCUUAGGUAUGUUCUUUUAUCC
rnacentral:piRNA from 1 species